rnacentral:rRNA from 1 species
AUCCUGGCUCAGGAUGAACGCUAGCUACAGGCUUAACACAUGCAAGUCGAGGGGCAGCGAGAGGAAAGCUUGCUUCCUUGUCGGCGACCGGCGCACGGGUGAGUAACGCGUAUCCAACCUUCCCCAUAGUAGAGGAUAGCCCGGCGAAAGUCGGAUUAAUACUCUAUGUUGUACAACGAGGACAUCUGAAUUGUACCAAAGAUUCAUCGCUAUGGGAUGGGGAUGCGUCUGAUUAGCUUGUUGGCGGGGUAACGGCCCACCAAGGCGACGAUCAGUAGGGGUUCUGAGAGGAAGGUCCCCCACAUUGGUACUGAGACACGGACCAAACUCCUACGGGAGGCAGCAGUGAGGAAUAUUGGUCAAUGGACGAGAGUCUGAACCAGCCAAGUAGCGUGCAGGAUGACUGCCCUAUGGGUUGUAAACUGCUUUUAUGCGGGGAUAAAGUGCGGCACGUGUGCCGCUUUGCAGGUACCGCAUGAAUAAGGACCGGCUAAUUCCGUGCCAGCCGCCGC